rnacentral:rRNA from 1 species
GAUGAACGCUAGCGGCAGGCUUAACACAUGCAAGUCGAGGGGCAGCAUGAGACGGAGAUUCGUCAAAGUCUUGAUGGCGACCGGCGCAAGGGUGCGUAACGCGUGAGCAACUUGCCCGUUUCAGGGGGAUAACCGGUGGAAACGCCGACUAAUACCCCAUAGUAUUGAUAUAAGGCAUCUUUAAUCAAUUAAAGAAUUUCGGAAACGGAUAGGCUCGCGUGACAUUAGCUAGAUGGUGAGGUAACGGCUCACCAUGGCUACGAUGUCUAGGGGUUCUGAGAGGAAGGUCCCCCACACUGGAACUGAGACACGGUCCAGACUCCUACGGGAGGCAGCAGUGAGGAAUAUUGGUCAAUGGUCGAGAGACUGAACCAGCCAUGCCGCGUGAAGGUCACGGCCCUAUGGGUCUUAAACUUCUUUUGUAAGGGAGCAAUAAGGUCUACGUGUAGACUGAUGAGAGUACCUUACGAAUAAGCAUCGGCUAACUCCGUG